rnacentral:rRNA from 1 species
ACAUGCAGUCGAACGCGUUGGCCCAAUUGAUUGAUGGUGCUUGCACCUGAUUGAUUUUGGUCGCCAACGAGUGGCGGACGGGUGAGUAACACGUAGGUAACCUGCCCAGAAGCGGGGGACAACAUUUGGAAACAGAUGCUAAUACCGCAUAACAGCGUUGUUCGCAUGAACAACGCUUAAAAGAUGGCUUCUCGCUAUCACUUCUGGAUGGACCUGCGGUGCAUUAGCUUGUUGGUGGGGUAACGGCCUACCAAGGCGAUGAUGCAUAGCCGAGUUGAGAGACUGAUCGGCCACAAUGGGACUGAGACACGGCCCAUACUCCUACGGGAGGCAGCAGUAGGGAAUCUUCCACAAUGGGCGCAAGCCUGAUGGAGCAACACCGCGUGAGUGAAGAAGGGUUUCGGCUCGUAAAGCUCUGUUGUUAAAGAAGAACACGUAUGAGAGUAACUGUUCAUACGUUGACGGUAUUUAACCAGAAAGUCACGGCUAACUACGUGCCAGCAGCCGCGGUAAUACGUAGGUGGCAAGCGUUAUCCGGAUUUAUUGGGCGUAAAGAGAGUGCAGGCGGUUUUCUAAGUCUGAUGUGAAAGCCUUCGGCUUAACCGGAGAAGUGCAUCGGAAACUGGAUAACUUGAGUGCAGAAGAGGGUAGUGGAACUCCAUGUGUAGCGGUGGAAUGCGUAGAUAUAUGGAAGAACACCAGUGGCGAAGGCGGCUACCUGGUCUGCAACUGACGCUGAGACUCGAAAGCAUGGGUAGCGAACAGGAUUAGAUACCCUGGUAGUCCAUGCCGUAAACGAUGAGUGCUAGGUGUUGGAGGGUUUCCGCCCUUCAGUGCCGGAGCUAACGCAUUAAGCACUCCGCCUGGGGAGUACGACCGCAAGGUUGAAACUCAAAGGAAUUGACGGGGGCCCGCACAAGCGGUGGAGCAUGUGGUUUAAUUCGAAGCUACGCGAAGAACCUUACCAGGUCUUGACAUCUUGCGCCAACCCUAGAGAUAGGGCGUUUCCUUCGGGAACGCAAUGACAGGUGGUGCAUGGUCGUCGUCAGCUCGUGUCGUGAGAUGUUGGGUUAAGUCCCGCAACGAGCGCAACCCUUGUUACUAGUUGCCAGCAUUAAGUUGGGCACUCUAGUGAGACUGCCGGUGACAAACCGGAGGAAGGUGGGGACGACGUCAGAUCAUCAUGCCCCUUAUGACCUGGGCUACACACGUGCUACAAUGGACGGUACAACGAGUCGCGAACUCGCGAGGGCAAGCAAAUCUCUUAAAACCGUUCUCAGUUCGGACUGCAGGCUGCAACUCGCCUGCACGAAGUCGGAAUCGCUAGUAAUCGCGGAUCAGCAUGCCGCGGUGAAUACGUUCCCGGGCCUUGUACACACCGCCCGUCACACCAUGAGAGUUUGUAACACCCAAAGUCGGUGGGGUAACCUUUUAGGAGCCA